rnacentral:rRNA from 1 species
GACGAACGCUGGCGGCGUGCUUAAUACAUGCAAGUCGAACGGAAAGGCCCUGCGUUUGUGGGGUUCUCGAGUGGCGAACGGGGGAGUAACACGUGUGUAACCUGCCCUUGACUUUGGGGUAACUUCAGGAAACUGGGGCUAAUAUCGGGUAGGAGCUCCUGCUGCAUGUGAUGGGUUGGAAAGUUUCGGCGGUUGGGGAUGGAAUCGCGGGUUAUCAGCUUGUUGGUGUGGUAGUUGCGUACAACGGCUUUGACGGGUAGCCGGCAUGGGAGCCUGACCGGCCACCUUGGGCCUGCGAUACGGACCAGAAUCCUACGGGCGGCAGCAGUGGGGAAUAUUGCACAAUGGGCGCAAGUCUGAUGCAGCAACGCCGCGUGCGUGAUGACGGCCUUCGGGUUGUAAACCGAUUUCGCAUGUGACGAAGCGUGCGUGACGGUACUGAGUAAAGAAGCCACGGCUAACUACGUG